rnacentral:rRNA from 1 species
UACGUAGGGCGCAAGCGUUGUUCGGAAUUAUUGGGCGUAAAGCGUCCGCAGGUGGCAGUUCAAGUCUGCUGUCAAAGACCGGGGCUUAACUUCGGAAAGGCAGUGGAAACUGAACAGCUAGAGUAUGGUAGGGGCAGAGGGAAUUCCUGGUGUAGCGGUGAAAUGCGUAGAGAUCAGGAAGAACAUCGGUGGCGAAGGCGAUCUGCUGGACCAUAACUGACGCUCAGGGACGAAAGCUAGGGGAGCGAAUGGG